rnacentral:rRNA from 1 species
AUUUAAAUCCAACCUUCCCUGAACAAGCCCGAUCCAGUCUAAUCUCAGAAGCUAAGCAGGGUCGGGCCUGGUUAGUACUUGGAUGGGAGAACACCUAGGAAGACCAGGUGCUAUAGGCA